rnacentral:lncRNA from 1 species
AUUUCUGCUACUAUGCCUCCUGUUUACUGUUUAGUUCAGUUACUUUUUUUUUCUUGCAAACAAGAAGGGGAAAAAAUAGGCGAUUCGAAUCCCCGUUCUUCUGAUUUCCUCUUGUCUGCUUUCUUGCUCAUGCCAAUGCCUAACAAAACAGUUAAGAAAUCUGCAUGGGAUUCUGUACCAAGAACAUCGGCUUCUCAUGUCGAUCUUCCGUUCGGCCAAUUGGACAGCGUCAUCUUCGUU